UACGAGGGGUGCAAGCGUUGCUCGGAAUUAUUGGGCGUAAAGGGCAGGUAGGUGGUCUCAUUUGUCAGAGGUGAAAGCCUUGGGCUUAACCCAAGAAGUGCCUCUGAAACGGUGAGACUGGAGUCUUGGAGAGGGUCGUGGAAUUCCCAGUGUAGCGGUGAAAUGCGUAGAGAUUGGGAGGAACACCAGCGGCGAAGGCGGCGACCUGGACAAGUACUGACACUCAACUGCGAAAGCGUGGGUAGCAAACAGG
rnacentral:rRNA from 1 species